AUUGAACGCUGGCGGCAGGCCUAACACAUGCAAGUCGAACGGUAACAGGAAGAAGCUUGCUUCUUUGCUGACGAGUGGCGGACGGGUGAGUAAUGUCUGGGAAACUGCCUGAUGGAGGGGGAUAACUACUGGAAACGGUAGCUAAUACCGCAUAACGUCGCAAGACCAAAGAGGGGGACCUUCGGGCCUCUUGCCAUCGGAUGUGCACAGAUGGGAUUAGCUAGUAGGUGGGGUAACGGCUCACCUAGGCGACGAUACCUAGCUGGUCUGAGGGGAUGACCAGCCACACUGGAACUAAGACACGGGCCAGACUCCUACGGGAGGCAGCAGUGGGGAAUAUUGCACAAUGGGCGCAAGACUGAUGCAGCCAUGCCGCGUGUAUGAAGAAGGCCUUCGGGUUGUAAAGUACUUUCAGCGGGGAGGAAGGGAGUAAAGUUAAUACCUUUGCUCAUUGACGUUACCCGCAGAAGAAGCACCGGCUAACUCCGUGCCAGCCGCCGCGGUAA
rnacentral:rRNA from 1 species